rnacentral:rRNA from 1 species
UACGAAGGGGGCUAGCGUUGCUCGGAAUCACUGGCGUAAAGCGCACGUAGGCGGAUUGCUAAGUCAGGGGUGAAAUCCUGGAGCUCAACUCCAGAACUGCCUUUGAUACUGGCGACCUUGAGUCCGGGAGAGGUGAGUGGAACUGCGAGUGUAGAGGUGAAAUUCGUAGAUAUUCGCAAGAACACCAGUGGCGAAGGCGGCUCACUGGCCCGGUACUGACGCUGAGGUGCGAAAGCGUGGGAGCAAACAGG